CAUGGCGUCCUCUCCUCUCCUUUUCUUCAAGGGGCUCCUGUUCACAGCUUCCCUUCUAGCCUGCCGGAACUCAAACGCUGCCAUGGCCCACCUAUCUAUCGAGGCUCUGCCGCCCUCUCUUCCUGAAGGGGGAAAUGUUCUUCUAGAUUCUGACACAGCCCUACCUCCAGGUCAAGAGCAUUAUAGUGGAAAGACGGAAAUCUGCAACCUUCGAGUGCAUGUCACCUGACACUGGAGUUGACAUCACUUGGAUCUUCAAUAACAAGCCUCUAGAUUUCAAUAAGAGGAUGUCUCUAUCUCCUGAAAAGCACAGACUCAGCAUAGCUCCCCUCAGGCUAAAGGAUACAGGGGAGUAUCAGUGCGAGGUCUCCAACUCCUUCAGUUCCAGGAAGAGUAACUCCAUCUCCUUGUUCUUGGUCCGAGUGUGACCUCUCCUCUCCUCCUCCACUGCUGAUGGGAGGUUGCCUUUCUCACUCGUGUGCAAGGUGGAUAAAGGUUGAAGGGAGUCACUGAUCAGUGCAGACACAGAGACAGGCAGCAUGGUGACAGACACUUGCCAUCCUAAAGUAAAACACAGGUCAGUCCCAUUCAGACACAGUGAGGCAAUUAUUUUAUAAAAGUCAAGAGUAUAGGACCAGAACUCAGUCCAGGGAUCUGAUUUUCAAGGGACUAAGAAGGGCUUAGGUUCUGAAUCAAAUACAAACCACACC